CGCACCUUGCACCCUCUGGUAUUCCGGAGGGUAUGCCCGGUUGAGUAUUAUGAUCAACUCAAGCCUCCGGUUUCUAAUCGCAAAGGUCUUACGUUCGACGAACCCGUCCAUUGGGACGGUGGUAGUUGACGCUUGACUUGGAAACUCGGAUUGGCAUUGGACUUGAGCGCAUGUCGGUUGUGUUAACGAUCGACUCGCUUGAAAUGUAUUAGCUGGCGACCCGCCUUACGGUUCCACUCGACGUAGUAAGACUUAUUCGUUGAGGACACCUCUCUUGAUUGAAAGGUGGCCGACAGGUGUCUGGUAUUGAAGCCGCUUCUAAUCGUCUUAGGACAAUUUCCAUUGAACGAUUGAUCUCAACUCGGGUAGGACUACCCGCUGAACUUAA
rnacentral:rRNA from 1 species